rnacentral:tRNA from 1 species
AUCUAUAUAGUUUAAUUAAAACAUAACAUUUUCAAUGUUAAAAUAAUUUUAAUAUUUAUAGGUU